UACAGAGGGGGCAAGCGUUGUUCGGAAUUACUGGGCGUAAAGGGCGCGUAGGCGGCCUUCUAAGUCGAACGUGAAAUCCCCGGGCUCAACCCGGGAACUGCGUCCGAUACUGGAAGGCUUGAAUCCGGGAGAGGGAUGCGGAAUUCCAGGUGUAGCGGUGAAAUGCGUAGAUAUCUGGAGGAACAUCAGUGGCGAAGGCGGCCAUCUGGAUCAACACUGACGCUGAGGCACGAAAGCGUGGGGAGCAAACAGG
rnacentral:rRNA from 1 species